GAAGAGGAGUUUGUAUUUAGAUUUUUACAUCAGUCCGGAUGAAGAUUCGUGCCAAAAAUUUGUGCCGUUUAUUGGGGUGGUGAAGGUGGGGAUCGUUGAACACAGUCUGUCCACAUCAGGUGAGUUCAGAUCCGCCUCAUUCGGCACAGCUGAUGUCUGUGAUGCAAGCGUGAGCUCCAGUGAUGGGAUUGGGUGUUUGACAGCGUCAUCACGCAGGUUUCUGGUGCUCAGGAAAUGAGGUCACGUCUGCGAGCUUCACGCUCUCUUUCAGUCGGUCACAUAAAUAGAUUUUACAGCACGAGGCUUUUACAGUCCUGUUCAUACUGCGCCCGCAGCAGUGCAUCAGCUCCUCAUAUGUAGGUCAGCGCACUGUGUGUGUG